CCUACGGGGGGCUGCAGUGGGGAAUAUUGGACAAUGGGGGCAACCCUGAUCCAGCCAUGCCGCGUGUGUGAAGAAGGCCCUCGGGUUGUAAAGCACUUUCAGUGAGGAAGAACGCCUGGUGGUUAAUACCCAUCAGGAAAGACAUCACUCACAGAAGAAGCACCGGCUAACUCCGUGCCAGCAGCCGUGGUAAUACGGAGGGUGCGAGCGUUAAUCGGAAUUACUGGGCGUAAAGCGCGCGUAGGUGGCUUGAUAAGCCGGUUGUGAAAGCCCCGGGCUCAACCUGGGAACGGCAUCCGGAACUGUCAAGCUAGAGUGCAGGAGAGGAAGGUAGAAUUCCCGGUGUAGCGGUGAAAUGCGUAGAGAUCGGGAGGAAUACCAGUGGCGAAGGCGGCCUUCUGGACUGACACUGACACUGAGGUGCGAAAGCGUGGGUAGCAAACAGGAUUAGAUACCCUUGUAGUC
rnacentral:rRNA from 1 species